UACGUAGGGGGCAAGCGUUGUUCGGAAUCAUUGGGCGUAAAGGGCGCGUAGGCGGUCGCGUGUGUCUGCUGUGAAAGCACACGGCUUAACCGUGUGAAGUCGGUAGAAACUGCGGGACUUGAGGCUGGGAGAGGUUGGUGGAAUUCCCUGUGUAGCGGUGAAAUGCGUAGAUAUAGGGGAGAACACUCGUGGCGAAGGCGGCCAGCUGGACCAGCCCUGACGCUGAGGCGCGACAGCGUGGGGAGCAAACAGG
rnacentral:rRNA from 1 species